UCUUCCACUCCAGAAAGUAUGUCCAACAAAAGGUUAACAGGAAAGGAAAUAAAUUCAUAAAGGAAAGCUUCCAGAGCUCUCCAAAGCAUAGCUCUUGAGAUUGGAGUCAAGAAAAACUGAGGGCAUCAGCCUGGGCAGUGAUAAAUGCAUGAGAGACUCAUGGAAGGAAGGAAUAAGCAGGAAGUUUUAAGAAAAAUAAGGGUAUUUUCAUAAGUGAGCACAAUCAAAAUAAACAAAUUAAUUAAUGAGCACAAUCAAAAUCUCCCUCAGAAACAAUGCUAAGUAGAUAAUAGCAAAGGGAAAGGGCACCAUAUGACAAUAGGAUUUAAAAUGAGAAGGUAUCCUAUCUUAAGUAAGGAGCAUGCUGGAGCCAGGUGAAACCAUGUGUGGACAGCAAUUUUGUUAAAUUUGCAAUGUGAGAAUUGAGAAAUCAGCAAGCUACAAAUUAGGACUGGAUCUAUUGUUUUAUUUUAAAAUUUGUUUAGAAUUAACAUUUUUAGACUGUUUAGACUGCAAAGAUUCUUCAAUUUAAUAUUGCAAAUUAACCUGAAAAAUGUGUGCUUUGUUUUGCAAAGCCCAUUGUUAGAUAUUUAUCAAUAUAUUCCUGGGAAGGUUCCCUUUAUUAUCUCAUUCCAGAGGUCUUUAUUGUGUUGGAAGGGUCUCCAGCCUCCCCCUAAUAAAGUGUAAACCCAAGGGUGGAGACUAUCCUGCUUUUGUCUUCCUCUCUCAGGUACUGGAACCAUGCAGGGUACAUAGUAGGUAUUUAAUUAAUACCCUUUCCUUGAUGGGUAUAGUCUAAUCCUCUCAUUUUAUAGGCGAAGAGGCAAAGAAAUUGAUGUGGGGAAAAGGAGAAUUACCUUGUCUAAGAUCACAUAAACAGCAAAGUCCAGAUCCAGAAUUUGAACUGAGGUUAAUUUAUCUGAUUACAUGCAACGCACUGCAGCCCUGUUAAGACACCAGCCGAGUUUCCACUUGGAGGCUGGGAGAAAAGAUUACCAUUAAAACGUGACUUCCAUCCA